rnacentral:lncRNA from 1 species
CAGUCUCUGGCUUUGAAGAACAUCUUCAGAACGUUGCUCCUGGUGAACCAAAAAAAGAAUAUGAAGAAAUAGAAGAAUUGAAGAUGGAGACCAAUGCGGAGCUGCCUGUUCUGGAUGCAAGAUCGGUUGAAGAUAUUGAUUUGGCUUUUAAGCAACUUCAUGAAGGUGUAGAUGUUGAGGAAGUAGUACUUGCAAGCAUGAUUGAGGAUCAGCUGGGUCAUGAAGAUUCCACUUCAAAGUUACCUGUUGUCGAGGCAAGAUCUCUGGAGGAUAUACAUAAUGCUUUCCAAAAAGGUCCAGAACCUAAUCUGGCCGAGCUGCCACUUUCCACAGACUUGAGAAAUGGAUCAUCAGAAAUGGAGCAGCAUGAUGCGGUUUCUAAUAAAGAGAUUGAAGUUGAAAAUAGUCAGAAUGCUGCCAGUGAACCAAAAAAUGACCAUGAAGAAACAGAGGAAAUGAAGAUGGAGACCAAUGCAGAGCUGCCUGUUCUUGAAGCAAGAUCACUGGAAGACAUUGAUUUGGCUUUUAAGCAACUUCAUGGAGGAGUUGAUGUUGAGGAAGUAAUUCUUCCAAGCAUGAUUGAGAAUCAGCAGGGUGAUGCAGAUACCAAUUCGGAUUUACCAGUUGUUGAGGCGAGAUCUCUGGAGGAUAUACAGAGUGCUUUUCAACAAGGCCCUGAAUCUAAUCUAGCUGAGGUGCCACAUUCCUCAGGAGUAGAGCAUCAUGAUGUGGUUUCUACUGAAGAGAUUGAUGGUAGUAGUCCCGUCUCUGGUAUUCAAGCAAUGAGUGAGAAUGCUGCUGGUGGACCGAAAAAUGAAUACAAAGAAAUGGUAGAAAAAGAGAUGGAGACUGAGGUGGUGCUACCUUUACUUGAAGCAAAAUCAGUGGAAGACAUCGAUGUGGCAUUUAAGCAACUUCAUGAAGGGGUAGAUGUGGAGGAAAUAAUUAUUCCAAGUAUGAUUGUGAACCAACAGGUUCAUGCAGACACCAGUUCAACAUUACCUGUUGUCGAGGCAAGAUCUCUGGAGGAUAUACAUAAUGCUU